rnacentral:rRNA from 1 species
CGUCAGCUCGUGUCGUGAGAUGUUGGGUUAAGUCCCGCAACGAGCGCAACCCUUGUCUUUAGUUGCCAUCAUUAAGUUGGGCACUCUAAAGAGACUGCCGGUGACAAACCGGAGGAAGGUGGGGAUGACGUCAAGUCAUCAUGCCCCUUAUGACCUGGGCUACACACGUGCUACAAUGGGCAGUACAACGAGAAGCGAACCCGCGAGGGUAAGCGGAUCUCUUAAAGCUGUUCUCAGUUCGGACUGCAGGCUGCAACUCGCCUGCACGAAGCUGGAAUCGCUAGUAAUCGCGGAUCAGCACGCCGCGGUGAAUACGUUCCCGGGCCUUGUACACACCGCCCGUCACACCAUGGAAGUCUGCAAUGCCCAAAGUCGGUGGGAUAACCUUUAUAGGAGUCAGCCGCCUAAGGCAGGGCAGAUGACUGGGGUGAAGUCGUAACAAGGUAGCCGUAGGAGAACCUGCGGCUGGAUCACCUCCUUUCUAAGGAA